rnacentral:SRP_RNA from 2 species
GCCAGGCAUGGUGGCGCAUGCCUGUAGUCCCAGCUACUUCGGAGGCUGAGGCAGGAGAAUUGCUUGAACCCGGGAGGCAGAGGUUGCAGUGAGCUGAGAUUGCACCACUGCACUCCAGCCUGGGUGAAAGAGUGAGACUCCGCCUCAC